GUGAGGAAUAUUGGUCAAUGGGCGAGAGCCUGAACCAGCCAAGUCGCGUGAAGGAAGAAGGAUCUAUGGUUCGUAAACUUCUUUUGCAGGGGAAUAAAGUGCAGGACGUGUCCUGUUUUGUAUGUACCCUGAGAAUAAGGAUCGGCUAACUCCGUGCCAGCAGCCGCGGUAAUACGGAGGAUCCGAGCGUUAUCCGGAUUUAUGGGGUUUAAAGGGUGCGUAGGUGGUUUGAUAAGUCAGCGGUGAAAGUUUGCAGCUUAACUGUAAAAAUGCCGUUGAAACUGUCGGACUUGAGUGUAAAUGAGGUAGGCGGAAUGCGUGGUGUAGCGGUGAAAUGCAUAGAUAUCACGCAGAACUCCGAUUGCGAAGGCAGCUUACUAAGCUACAACUGACACUGAAGCACGAAAGCGUGGGGAUCAAACAGGAUUAGAUACCCUGGUAGUCC
rnacentral:rRNA from 1 species